rnacentral:siRNA from 1 species
UGUCACACUUAUCUUCUCCCUUCU